CAGCCGUAAACUAUGCUCGCUAGGUGUCAGGGACGGUGCGACCGUUUCUGGUGCCGCAGGGAAGCCGUGAAGCGAGCCACCUGGGAAGUACGGUCGCAAGGCUGAGACUUAAAGGAAUUGGCGGGGGAGCACAACAACGGGUGGAGCUUGCGGUUUAAUUGGAUUCAACGCCGGAAAUCUUACCGGGACCGACAGCAACAUGAAGGCCAAGCUGAAGACUUUGCCGGAUUAGCUGAGAGGAGGUGCAUGGCGUAAUCGUGU
rnacentral:rRNA from 1 species